rnacentral:tRNA from 1 species
CCUGGCGGCUCAGACGGUAAAAGCAUCCCCCUACAAUGGGGGAGGACCCAGGUUCGAUCCCUGGGUCGGGA